rnacentral:rRNA from 1 species
GACGAACGCUGGCGGCGUGCUUAACACAUGCAAGUCGAGCGGAAAGGCCCUUUCGGGGGUACUCGAGCGGCGAACGGGUGAGUAACACGUGAGUAAUCUGCCCUUGGCUUUGGGAUAACCACCGGAAACGGUGGCUAAUACCGGAUAUGACGCGCCCCGGCAUCGGGGUGGGAGGAAAGUUUUUUCGGCCAGGGAUGUGCUCGCGGCCUAUCAGCUUGUUGGGGGGGACAUGGCCUCCCAAGGCUUCGACGGGUAGCCGGCCCGAGAGGGUGACCGGACCCACUGGGAAUGAGACACGGCGCAGAGUCCUACGGGAGGCAGCAGUGGGGAAUAUUGGACAAUGGGCGGAAGCCUGAUCCAGCAACGCGGCGUGAGGGAUGACGGCCUUCGGGUUGUAAACCUCUUUCAGUACCGACGAAGCGCCGAUGAUGGUGGUGACGGUAGGUACAGAAGAAGCACCGGCCAACUACGUGCCAGCAGCCGCCGUAA